GUCACAGUAAACCUCCAGGGUGCCGCGCAAUCCGCGCGGAGAAUUGGGAAGCCGGUGAAAAUCCGGGACUGCCCCCGCAACGGUAAGGGUGGGUGAGACGGUACGAAGCCACUGGGCAAGUCGCCCGGGAAGGAUACCCGAUCACGAAGCGCAGCGGCCACGGCCGCAUCCCGGCGCUUCAGCCCCCCAGAGUCCGGAAACCAGCCUUGGGAUGAUGACGCCA
rnacentral:ncRNA from 2 species